rnacentral:rRNA from 1 species
UAGUAACUGCGAGUGAAGCGGGAAAAGCUCAAAUUUAAAAUCUGGCGGUCUCCGGCCGUCCGAGUUGUAAUCUAGAGAAGUGUUAUCCGCGCUGGACCGUGUACAAGUCUCCUGGAAUGGAGCGUCAUAGAGGGUGAGAAUCCCGUCUUUGACACGGACUGCCAGGGCUUUGUGAUGCGCUCUCAAAGAGUCGAGUUGUUUGGGAAUGCAGCUCAAAAUGGGUGGUAAAUUCCAUCUAAAGCUAAAUAUUGGCGAGAGACCGAUAGCGAACAAGUACCGUGAGGGAAAGAUGAAAAGAACUUUGGAAAGAGAGUUAAACAGUACGUGAAAUUGCUGAAAGGGAAACGCUUGAAGUCAGUCGCGUUGGCCGGGGAUCAACCUUGCUUUUGCUGGGCGUACUUUCCGGUCGAUGGGUCAGCAUCAAUUUUGAUCGUUGGAUAAAGUCUUGGGGAAUGUGGCAUCUUCGGAUGUGUUAUAGCCCUUGGUCGCAUACAACGGUUGGGAUUGAGGAACUCAGCACGCCGAAAGGCCGGGUAUUCGUACCACGUUCGUGCUUAGGAUGCUGGCAUAAUGGCUUUAAUCGACCCGUCUUGAAACACGGACCAAGGAGUCUAACAUGCCUGCGAGUGUUUGGGUGGAAAACCCGGACGCGUAAUGAAAGUGAAAGUUGAGAUCCCUGUCGUAGGGAGCAUCGACGCCCGGACCAGAACUUUUGUGACGGAUCCGCGGUAGAGCAUGUAUGUUGGG